rnacentral:rRNA from 1 species
CGGACGGGUGAGUAACGCGUGGGUAACCUGCCCCAUACAGGGGGAUAACAGUUAGAAAUGACUGCUAAUACCGCAUAAGCGCACUGCAUCGCAUGAUGAGGUGUGAAAAACUGAGGUGGUAUGGGAUGGGCCCGCGUCUGAUUAGCCAGUUGGCGGGUAACGGCCCACCAAAGCGACGAUCAGUAGCCGACCUGAGAGGGUGACCGGCCACAUUGGGACUGAGACACGGCCCAAACUCCUACGGGAGGCAGCAG